UGAGCAACCUGCCCUUGACUCUGGAAUAACAGCUGGAAACAGCUGCUAAUACCGGAUAUGACCUCCGAUGGCAUCAUCUGGAGGUGGAAAGCUCCGGCGGUCAAGGAUGGGCUCGCGGCCUAUCAGCUUGUUGGUGAGGUAACGGCUCACCAAGGCUUCGACGGGUAGCCGGCCUGAGAGGGCGACCGGCCACACUGGGACUGAGAUACGGCCCAGAUCCGUAACGGG
rnacentral:rRNA from 1 species